UACGUAGGGUGCAAGCGUUAAUCGGAAUUACUGGGCGUAAAACGUGCGCAGGCGGUUUUGUAAGUCUGUCGUGAAAGCCCCGGGCUCAACCUGGGAAUUGCGAUGGAGACUGCAAGGCUUGAAUCUGGCAGAGGGGGGUAGAAUUCCACGUGUAGCAGUGAAAUGCGUAGAGAUGUGGAGGAACACCGAUGGCGAAGGCAGCCCCCUGGGUCAAGAUUGACGCUCAUGCACGAAAGCGUGGGGAGCAAACAGG
rnacentral:rRNA from 1 species